GUCCAAGGGCCCGGGCCAACGGGAGGAGGGGGCGGAAAGAAAGAUCUCGCGGCCCUCGGGAACUACCACAAGCGAGCGAAGGGUGCGACGGCCGGCCGCCGGAGGGCGAGAGGCAGACCGCCCGGCAGACGAGCUCAGGGGCGAGCCGCACAGCCCGACCAGAUCUCGACCAGAAGCCUCAGAAACCAUGGGGAGAAAAGGAGGGGUGGCUGCCAUCCCGGAGUGGAGACCGACAGGGGUUUGGUGUCCACCGGCGCCGGAGUGGCGUUCGGCGGGGGCUCAAGCGGGGGAACCUACCAGGUUACUUCGCUCUUUUGUUAGCUACUACUCCUACCUGUAGCUAGCUUCCAGUUUGAAGUCUGUUCUUGGUUCUUUGCGGCACAUGCUUCAAGUCCCACUAGUGGCUAGUGGUAGUGGGAAGCUUCAAGUCCCACUCCCUCCACCACCUGCUCAGUCGCCUCAGAUCUCCAGCUCCCCCCUCCAUCGGCGGGCGCGGCCGCAUUCCUCGCCGUACAGAGCGAAGCGGGGAUCGGUGGGUGGGUAGGUGCAGCUGCUGGAGAGUGUCGGUGGAGUAGCGGUGGAGGAAAUGGCGCCGGUUAGUGGCGUCGCCGGGAGCUCCAGAUCCGCGGCCUGCUGCGCCGUGCUGCUCACGGUAGUGCUCUUCUUCUCCGCACCGGCCACCACAGAGGCUUAUGAUUCCCUGGAUCCAAAUGGCAACAUCACCAUAAAAUGGGAUAUUAUUUCGUGGACUCCUGAUGGCUAUGUUGCAACGGUCACAAUAUUCAACUACCAGCAGUUCCGACACAUAUCCGCGCCUGGGUGGCAGCUGGGGUGGUCGUGGGCAAAGAAAGAGGUCAUCUGGUCGAUAGCGGGUGCUCUGGCCACUGAGCAGGGUGAUUGCUCAAAAUUCAAGAGCGCCCCUCCCCAUUGCUGCAAGAGAGAUCCGACGAUUGUCGAUCUUCUUCCAGGCACCCCAUUCAACCAGCAAAUUGCCAACUGUUGCAAGGCAGGAGUUAUAAAGACAUUUAACCAGGACCCGGGAAAUGCUGCUUCCUCCUUCCAGAUUAGUGUAGGUCUUGCUGGGACUACCAAUAAGACGGUUAAGAUGCCGAAAAACUUCACCCUUAAGGCCCCAGAUCCGGGGUACACAUGUGGGCGUGCUCUUGUUGGCAGGCCUACCAGGUAUUACUCGUCAGAUGGGCGCAGGGUAACCCAAGCUCUCAUGUCGUGGAAUGUGAUCUGCACAUACUCCUAAUUUCUUGCUUGGAAAGUUCCGAGCUGCUGUGUAUCUCUCUCAUCGUUUUAUAACGACACUUUUGUGAACUGCCCAACGUGCUCUUGCGGCUGCCCAAACAGUAUUAUUCGUCCAGGAAGUUGUAUAAAUGGCCCUGGCAAAUUAACCGGCCAGCCUCUUGUCCAAUGUACUCCCCACAUGUGCCCGAUAAGAAUCCAUUGGCAUGUGAAGCUCAACUACAUGGAUUACUGGAGAGUGAAAGUCACCAUCACCAACUUCAACUACCGCAUGAACUAUACAGACUGGAACUUAGUUGCCCAGCAUCCUAACUUUGAUAAUAUCACAAAGGUCUUCAGCUUUAACUACAAGCGACUUACGCCAUAUGGAGGCAGCAUAAAUGACACCGCAAUGUUCUGGGGAAAGAAGUUCUACAAUGAUUUGCUCAAUCAAGCUGGUCCGCUUGGAAACGUGCAGUCAGAGCUACUCAUGUGGAAGGACUCAGAGACUUUCACCUUCCAGAAAGGAUGGGCGUUUCCUCGGCGUGUGUACUUCAAUGGUGAUAACUGUGUCAUGCCAUCUCCCGAUGAUUAUCCAUGGCCUAGAAACUGAAGAUGGAAUCCCUGUGCAGAACUCAUGGAACAUUGAGGACCUAUAGAAAUACUAUCUUCGCAAGUUCUAUUUAUAGGGCGUAUGGCCGUUGGACCUGUUCUAACAAGCAACUAUAUCAUGUAAAAUUCGGGCUCAGCUCCCUUGUUUGUUAAAUAAAGUUAAGUGUUUCACAA